CAAAGCUCUGGUUGUCAUUCUCUGCUACAAUAUUUUCUACAUUAGUUGCAUCUUUAGCUGUAGCACUGUCUUGGGCAGCAUCCAGUAGAACUGCAUUGCCUAUCAUAUUUUCAGUUCCAGUUCCAGCUUCAGAAGUAAAGCAGUUGUUUUCUGGCCACUCACUACCAUCCACUAGGUUUUCAUCGUUCAAAUUUUCCAGAGCCUUAUCAACUUGAGCAGCCAGUGUAUGAUUAGGUGGCCCACAAGAUACUUCCGCUAAAAUAAAAGCAUCUUCCUU
rnacentral:lncRNA from 1 species